rnacentral:rRNA from 1 species
ACCUGCGGAAGGAUCAUUGUCGUGACCCUGACCAAAAUAGACUGUGAACGUGUCAUCCAUACCGUCGGGUGACGGUCCUUGCACCGGCUCUCGGCACGGGCCCUUGUCUUUCUUAUGGAGGGGGAGGGGGCCCAACAGAACCCACGGCGCCGGAUGGCGUCAAGGAACACUGAUGUUGCUUGCUUAGGGCCGUGGCUGGCCUGCUAGACGCUGCCUUUUGCUGCGAUGCUACUUGAAUCCUAAAGACUCUCGGCAACGGAUAUCUUGGCUCCUGCAUCGAUGAAGAACGUAGCAAAAUGCGAUACCUGGUGCGAAUUGCAGAAUCCCGUGAACCAUCGAGUUUUUGAACGCAAGUUGCGCCCAAUGCCUCUAGGUUGAGGGCACGUCUGCCUGGGCGUCACGCCAAAAGACACUCCUGCAGCCAUCGUUGUGUGGGAUGUGGUGUAUGGCCAUCCAUGCCACUUGAAUGGUGCGGUAUGCUAAAGUUGACGCUGCUGGCUAUGGUACCGGUCACAGUACUUGGUGGACGACAUCCGUUGUUCUCGGAGCUGUGACUUGUACCGGUUCUAGUGACGCGGCCCUUAGGACCCAAGGACCGAAGCGUUGACCGCUCGCACCGCGACCCCAGGUCAGUCGGGAUUACCCGCUGAAUUUAAGCAUAUCAAUAAG